rnacentral:rRNA from 1 species
GCACAAGCAGCGGAGCGUGUGGUUUAAUUCGAUGCAACGCGAAGAACCUUACCAGGGUUUGACAUGCUUAAAGUAGAAACUCGAAAGAGGGACGACCUGUAUCCAGUCAGGAAUUUGCACAGGUGCUGCAUGGCUGUCGUCAGCUCGUGCCGUGAGGUGUUAGGUUAAGUCCUGCAACGAGCGCAACCCUCGUCGCUAGUUAUUUCUCUAGCGAUACUGCCCGUAUAACGUGGAGGAAGGUGGGGAUGACGUCAAGUCAGCAUGGCCCUUACAUCCUGGGCUACACACACGCUACAAUGGGUGAUACAAUAGGUUGCGAUAGAGCGAUCUGGAGCCAAUCCCAAAAAUCAUCCUCAGUACGGAUUGCAGGCUGCAACUGCCUGCAUGAAGUUGGAGUUGCUAGUAAACGCAGGUCAGCACACUGCGUUGAAUACGUUCUCGGGCCUU